rnacentral:lncRNA from 1 species
CUGCCCCUCCCACUCCAACUACUCCAACCCCCACCACCACCCCUGCUCCUCCCACUCCUCAAGCUUCACCUCCACCCGUUCAAUCUUCUCCUCCACCGCUUCAAUCCUCUCCUCCACCGCUUCAAUCUUCUCCUCCACCAGCCCAAUCACCACCACCGGUACAAUCACCACCACCAGUGAGCUCCCCCCCACCGGCACAAUCGCCACCACCAGUGAGCUCCCCACCACCGGUACAAUCACCACCACCAGUGAGCU